AGGUGUGUACGACGGUGACUUCGGUUGUCAUGGUAACCGGCCUAUGCUGUUGCAGGCGGACGAUCGUGGCAGUAAUGAGUAGUCGAGCGUAAAAGGGCUCGAGGGGCGAUUUUGAAGAGGAUGUGGGCAUUUGAAGUCACGUGACGUCACACUCCAACCGCCAAACUGACGCCCCACACCAACACGGAGUCCGAGGUCAGUAUGAGCGAGGGCGAGUGCGGGCGAGGGCGCGCUCGCCGGUAGGUGU